GACGAACGCUGGCGGCGUGCUUAACACAUGCAAGUCGAACGGAAAGGCCCUGCUUUUGUGGGGUGCUCGAGUGGCGAACGGGUGAGUAACACGUGAGUAACCUGCCCUUGACUUUGGGAUAACUUCAGGAAACUGGGGCUAAUACCGGAUAGGAGCUCCUGCUGCAUGGUGGGGGUUGGAAAGUUUCGGCGGUUGGGGAUGGACUCGCGGCUUAUCAGCUUGUUGGUGGGGUAGUGGCUUACCAAGGCUUUGACGGGUAGCCGGCCUGAGAGGGUGACCGGCCACAUGGGGACGGAGAACGGCCCCAGCCCCAGCGGGGGGGAAGAGGGGGGGAUUAUGGCAAAGGGGGGGGAGGCCGGAGGCAGCACCCCCGGGGGGGGGAGGCGGCCCUUGGGGUUGAAAACCGCUUGCGCCGGGAAGGAGGGGGGGGGGAGGGUAAGGGAUAAAGAAGCCCCGGCUAACUACGUC
rnacentral:rRNA from 1 species